ensembl:lncRNA MIR646HG MIR646 host gene
GCCGAGGCCCGAUGCCGUAUCCUGCCGCCCGUUUUACCCGCGGGAAAGCCGAGGCCCGGUGCUGUAUUCUGCCGCCCAUUUUACCCGCGGGGAAGCUGAGGCCCAGUGCUGUUUAAUAUCUUACUCAUGUUCACUUGAUGAGAAAGUGACAGAUCUGAGACAAACCCAGUUCUAGAGGUUAUGACACCAGCCAUGGAAGAGCAGAGAGGCCAAUGAGGUGGGGAGGUUGGAAACAAAAGGCCUUCUCCACCCCAGCUUGACCAACCCAAAAGCUGGAAGGCAAGGAAGACCUAGGGAGAAGUGAAAUUCUACCUCACUUUUUUAAAAGAAGAGCCUGGAAUUGGCCUAUCCGUCUUUUUCCCCGUUGGAUCACAGAGCAGAAAGGAAGAUGCUCCCAGGCUCUCCCGCAGUUUAAAGACUUAACUCAGCGGCUUUCAGGGCCUGUGGUUGAGGGACUCCGAAAGAACUGUUGCUGGUGGACCGGUUCAGGGUCUUGACUUCGCCACACAAAAGAACUUGAGAGCACGUCCAAAGUAAAGCUAAGACCUCUAGUACAGUGUUCAAUGGAACUGGUGAGAAAAGACGUCCUUGCUGUGUUCCUGAUAUGAAGAGGAAAGCAGUCCUUCUCCAUUAAAUGCUGACAACAUGAGCCUCCCGUGGUCGGAACGGGCUUGUGAAGGCGGUGCUGGGGUGCACCAGGGCAGCAGCUACAGCUACAACUCAAAUCCCAGGAACACAGGAUUGCAGUGACCUACAUAAUUUGGGCUCAAAUACCUUCAAGGCAUUCCGAAGAGACAGAGAACACCAGAACAAGGGAGAAUUGGAGUGGAGGUGGAUGCUGAAAUUCCAGUAUAAAAAUCUACUCUGGCUGAGGAAUAAGACAAAAUGGUCAAGCCUGAGACACCUGAAGCCCUGGACUUGGAAUCUGAAGCUGUCAUCAGCCAGUACACCUAUGAACCUGUGGAAGACCUGAAGUACCUGUUUAAAAGACAGCCAAAAGAUAAGUAAAUACUUCCCAAAUUU